UACGAGGGGGGCGAGCGUUGUUCGGAAUUAUUGGGCGUAAAGGGUGCGUAGGCGGUUCCGCAAGUCCUGUGUGAAAUCUUCGGGCUCAACUCGAAGUCUGCACGGGAAACUGCGGGGCUUGAGUGUGGGAGAGGUGAGUGGAAUUCCCGGUGUAGCGGUGAAAUGCGUAGAUAGUCGGGAGGAACACCUGUGGCGAAGGCGGCUCUCUGGGACGGUACUGACGCUGAGACGCGAAAGCGUGGGGAGCGAACAGG
rnacentral:rRNA from 1 species